rnacentral:rRNA from 1 species
GACGAACGCUGGCGGCGUGCUUAACACAUGCAAGUCGAACGGAAAGGCCCUGCGUUUGUGGGGUGCUCGAGUGGCGAACGGGUGAGUAACACGUGAGUAACCUGCCCUUGACUUUGGGAUAACUUCAGGAAACUGGGGCUAAUACCGGAUAGGAGCUCCUGCUGCAUGGUGGGGGGUGGAAAGUUUCGGCGGUUGGGGAUGGACUCGCGGUUUAUCAGCUUGUUGGUGGGGGGGUGGCUUCCCAAGGCUUGGACGGGUAGCUGCCCUGGAAGGGUGACCGGCACCAUUGGACUACGGGAGGGACCAGUCGUCAACGGGGGGCAAUCGGCGGGAAAAUUUUCCAACCGGCGGGAGCCUGAUGCAGCAACGCCGCGUGCGGGAUGACGGCCUUCGGGUUGUAAACCGCUUUCGCCUGUGACGAAGCGUGAGUGACGGUAAUGGGUAAAGAAGCACCGGCUAACUACGUG